CUAGAAAUAAACUAGAAAUAUACGAAAAUCUUCCAAAUUAUUUUUCAAGUCUUAUAAACCAAAAACCAACCUCGAACUCAACUCGAGCGUAUACUGGUAUUUUUAAAAUAUCACGUCUGUUAGUGCGGUCAAAUUUGAAACAAAAUACUCUAAAUAAUUUCAUUGCUGCAUGUGUAAAUGAGUAUAACUAAUAAUAACUGAUGUACCUGUGGGGGUGAUGAACUACAGAGACAUCCUUGCCAACAUGCGGCAAUUAAUGAACUUUGUUUUUCCGUGUUGAUAACUGUGCAAAACGAAGGGCAAGAGCUCUUUGUUCAACAAAUAGCGGAAACAGAUUACUUCUGUUGGUGGAACAGUCGAUUAUAGUCGAUUACUUCUGUUGGUGG